ensembl:lncRNA
UUUACUUCUACAUUCAUAUUUAUUCAUGUUUACUUCUACAUUCAUAUUUAUUCAUGUUUACUCCUACAUUCAUAUUUAUUCAUGUUUACUUCUACAUUCAUAUUUAUUCAUGUUUACUCCUACAUUCCUAUUUAUUCAUGUUUACUUCUACAUUCAUGUUUAUUCAUGUUUACUUCUACAUUCAUGUUUAUUCAUAUUUAUUUCUACAUUCAUGUUUAUUUCAUGUUUACUUCUACAUUCAUGUUUAUUCAUGUUUACUCCUACAUUCAUGUUUAUUCAUGUUUACUCCUACAUUCAUGUUUAUUCAUGUUUACUCCUACAUUCAUGUUUACUUCUACAUUCCUAUUUAUUCAUGUUUACUUCUACAUUCAUGUUUAUUCAUGUUUACUUCUACAUUCCUAUUUAUUCAUGUUUACUCCUACAUUCAUGUUUAUUCAUGUUUACUCCUACAUUCAUGUUUAUU